rnacentral:lncRNA from 1 species
UGUUGAGGAAAUUUCUGCAGUUUUAAGCAGUCGUAUUUGUGAUUGAAGCUGAGUACAUUUUGCUGGUGUAUUUUUAGGUAAAAUGCUUUUUGUUCAUUUCUGGUGGUGGGAGGGGACUGAAGCCUUUAGUCUUUUCCAGAUGCAACCUUAAAAUCAGUGACAAGAAACAUUCCAAACAAGCAACAGUCUUCAAGAAAUUAAACUGGCAAGUGGAAAUGUUUAAACAGUUCAGUGAUCUUUAGUGCAUUGUUUAUGUGUGGGUUUCUCUCUCCCCUCCCUUGGUCUUAAUUCUUACAUGCAGGAACACUCAGCAGACACACGUAUGCGAAGGGCCAGAGAAGCCAGACCCAGUAAGAAAAAAUAGCCUAUUUACUUUAAAUAAACCAAACAUUCCAUUUUAAAUGUGGGGAUUGGGAACCACUAGUUCUUUCAGAUGGUAUUCUUCAGACUAUAGAAGGAGCUUCCAGUUGAAUUCACCAGUGGACAAAAUGAGGAAAACAGGUGAACAAGCUUUUUCUGUAUUUACAUACAAAGUCAGAUCAGUUAUGGGACAAUAGUAUUGAAUAGAUUUCAGCUUUAUGCUGGAGUAACUGGCAUGUGAGCAAACUGUGUUGGCGUGGGGGUGGAGGGGUGAGGUGGGCGCUAAGCCUUUUUUUAAGAUUUUUCAGGUACCCCUCACUAAAGGCACCGAAGGCUUAAAGUAGGACAACCAUGGAGCCUUCCUGUGGCAGGAGAGACAACAAAGCGCUAUUAUCCUAAGCUUUUCCAGAAGCCUGUUAAAAGCAAGGUCUCCCCACAAGCAACUUCUCUGCCACAUCGCCACCCCGUGCCUUUUGAUCUAGCACAGACCCUUCACCCCUCACCUCGAUGCAGCCAGUAGCUUGGAUCCUUGUGGGCAUGAUCCAUAAUCGGUUUCAAGGUAACGAUGGUGUCGAGGUCUUUGGUGGGUUGAACUAUGUUAGAAAAGGCCAUUAAUUUGCCUGCAAAUUGUUAACAGAAGGGUAUUAAAACCACAGCUAAGUAGCUCUAUUAUAAUACUUAUCCAGUGACUAAAACCAACUUAAACCAGUAAGUGGAGAAAUAACAUGUUCAAGAACUGUAAUGCUGGGUGGGAACAUGUAACUUGUAGACUGGAGAAGAUAGGCAUUUGAGUGGCUGAGAGGGCUUUUGGGUGGGAAUGCAAAAAUUCUCUGCUAAGACUUUUUCAGGUGAACAUAACAGACUUGGCCAAGCUAGCAUCUUAGCGGAAGCUGAUCUCCAAUGCUCUUCAGUAGGGUCAUGAAGGUUUUUCUUUUCCUGAGAAAACAACACGUAUUGUUUUCUCAGGUUUUGCUUUUUGGCCUUUUUCUAGCUUAAAAAAAAAAAAAGCAAAAGAUGCUGGUGGUUGGCACUCCUGGUUUCCAGGACGGGGUUCAAAUCCCUGCGGCGUCUUUGCUUUGACUACUAAUCUGUCUUCAGGACUCUUUCUGUAUUUCUCCUUUUCUCUGCAGGUGCUAGUUCUUGGAGUUUUGGGGAGGUGGGAGGUAACAGCACAAUAUCUUUGAACUAUAUACAUCCUUGAUGUAUAAUUUGUCAGGAGCUUGACUUGAUUGUAUAUUCAUAUUUACACGAGAACCUAAUAUAACUGCCUUGUCUUUUUCAGGUAAUAGCCUGCAGCUGGUGUUUUGAGAAGCCCUACUGCUGAAAACUUAACAAUUUUGUGUAAUAAAAAUGGAGAAGCUC